rnacentral:rRNA from 1 species
UACGAAGGGGGCUAGCGUUGUUCGGAAUUACUGGGCGUAAAGCGCGCGUAGGCGGAUUGCUAAGUCAGGGGUGAAAUCCCGAGGCUCAACCUCGGAACUGCCUUUGAUACUGGUGAUCUGGAGUCCGGAAGAGGUUGGUGGAAUUCCGAGUGUAGAGGUGAAAUUCGUAGAUAUUCGGAGGAACACCAGAGGCGAAGGCGGCCAACUGGUCCGGUACUGACGCUGAGGCGCGAAAAGCUAGGGGAGCAAACGGG